ACCACCUAACUUGUCCUAUCUGAAGACACAGAAAUUCACAUUUAUAUAAUGCCUAAAUAUAUGUAAUUUUAUACCUUCAGAUACCUGGCUUCCUUUGAGAUGUCCCCCUGCUUUUUUGCAAGAUCAAGGUCUGUGAGAAUGCCAAAAGAUCAGGACCCACCUGGAGCCACUUUUGGUGAAAACAAUUAAAAUUUACCCCCAACAUCAAAGCAAUGAGAGAGCAAGAAAGAUUUAUGAAGACAAAGGGGGAAGAAAUGAUUGAUAAGCCAGUGAUCUCACUCCAUGGCACAGAAAAGACUUGGGUGUCUGAACACAAUACACUGGCCAUCUUUUCUGGAGUCUCUGGAUUUACACACACAGCUGGGGAAACAGACACCCUGACCUUUAAAAAAAAUCCAUCAUGAAAACUUCCUCAGUGUUUUCACUUUGCCUUAAGUGAAAGGCAGCUUCUCUCCAUGACAAACUCUGUUGGGUAACUACAUUUGCUACAAAAAAAUCUUUGUUUUCACCUAUUGUUCCAUGUGUUUAUUGAAAUAAACCAGGCCUAAUGCA